AGCAUGGUGGCCUAGUAGACAGAGCACUGGACUAGGGCUCAGGAGAGCUGGGUUCUACUCCCAGCUCUGCUG
rnacentral:tRNA from 1 species